AUUGAACGCUGGCGGCAGGCUUAACACAUGCAAGUCGAGCGGGGAAGUGUAGCUUGCUACAUUACCUAGCGGCGGACGGGUGAGUAAUGCUUAGGAAUCUGCCUAUUAGUGGGGGACAACAUUCCGAAAGGAAUGCUAAUACCGCAUACGUCCUACGGGAGAAAGCAGGGGAUCUUCGGACCUUGCGCUAAUAGAUGAGCCUAAGUCGGAUUAGCUAGUUGGUGGGGUAAAGGCCUACCAAGGCGACGAUCUGUAGCGGGUCUGAGAGGAUGAUCCGCCACACUGGGACUGAGACACGGCCCAGACUCCUACGGGAGGCAGCAGUGGGGAAUAUUGGACAAUGGGCGGAAGCCUGAUCCAGCCAUGCCGCGUGUGUGAAGAAGGCCUUUUGGUUGUAAAGCACUUUAAGCGAGGAGGAGGCUACUCUAGUUAAUACCUAGGGAUAGUGGACGUUACUCGCAGAAUAAGCACCGGCUAACUCUGU
rnacentral:rRNA from 1 species